GUCUAUGCAAGUGAUGAGUAUGCGCGCGUUUUUUUCUGUGCUCUCUUCUGAAGUCGGGAAUCUGGGAAUAUACGGGACCUACCUUGGUGCCAGGGACUCCUAAUGACUGUGUGUGUCGGAGAGCGUUUGCGGUGCCUGGAACAACAACAACAACAGUAACAACAACAACAACAACAACAGCAGCAGCAGCAGCAUCAACAUCAACGCAAGCAUGGACCACCUGAAGAAGGCUCUGCGUCACAACAGAUGAGAGGCCAGUGACGUGCUAGAUCCCCUUCAUGUGGGUAAG